UACGUAGGUGACAAGCGUUGUCCGGAAUUACUGGGCGUAAAGCGCGCGCAGGCGGCUCUUUAAGUCUACCCGUGAAAUGCCGGAGCUCAACUCCGUGCACGCCGGGGGAUACUGGAGAGCUGGAGACGAGUAGAGGCAGGCGGAAUUCCGGGUGUAGCGGUGGAAUGCGUAGAGAUCCGGAAGAACACCGGAGGCGAAGGCGGCUUGCUGGGCUUGGUCUGACGCUGAGGCGCGAAAGCGUGGGGAGCGAACAGG
rnacentral:rRNA from 1 species